GACGAACGCUGGCGGCGUGCCUAAUACAUGCGAGUUGAGCGCUGAAGGUUGGUACUUGUACCAACUGGAUGAGCAGCGAACGGGUGAGUAACGCGUGGGGAAUCUGCCUUUGAGCGGGGGACAACAUUUGGAAACGAAUGCUAAUACCGCAUAAAAACUUUAAACACAAGUUUUAAGUUUGAAAGAUGCAAUUGCAUCACUCAAAGAUGAUCCCGCGUUGUAUUAGCUAGUUGGUGAGGUAAAGGCUCACCAAGGCGAUGAUACAUAGCCGACCUGAGAGGGUGGUCGGCCACAUUGGGACUGAGACACGGCCCAAACGCCUACGGGAGGCAGCAGUAGGGAAUCUUCGGCAAUGGACGAAAGUCUGACCGAGCAACGCCGCGGGAGUGAAGAAGGUUUUCGGGUCGUAAAACUCGGUUGGUAGAGAAGAACGUUGGUGAGAGUGGAAAGCUCAUCAAGUGACGGUAACUACUCAGAAAGGGACGGCUAACUACGUG
rnacentral:rRNA from 1 species